GAGUGCGGAGGGGGGAAGAGGGCGGCCGCUCAGAGCAUGCGCAGACAAAAGGACAGCCGAUUAACCGGCUGACAGAGACUGAAACUUACAGCGCAUGCGCCAGAGAAACGCCGCUGAGGACGAAGCCAUCCUGCGAGUCACGUGGCGGAGGAGUGGCUCUGGAGGGGUGAAACGAUUGGCCGUGAGGGUUACCGAGGCGGAAGUGUUGGCGUUCCUUUGCCGGCGUGAGGUGAGUAUGUGGUUGGUGCGGUUCCUGUACCGGACAUGGGUAGUCGCAGAGCGUGGUUGUGACUCCAGGAAUAAAACAUCAGUUCCACCCACUGAACAAAGUAAAGACCAGAAAACCUCAGGAUAUGCUUUUCAGCCGUACUGGUGUCUCGUUUUAAAUUGGCGCUUGUAUCAUCAUCCUGUUAGGAAACGCAGAUCUGCCCAAUCUUGCUCAUUUGGAAGUACAACUAUUUGAAGACAUUCUCCCAGAGUCAUCUGAGUGAGAAAAUUAAAAAGGUAUCUUCAUGCUUUAAGAACUUUGAUGACCAAGAACUUUGGAGCUUGAAUAACUCAAAGACUAUUUGCAUUUAAACAUAAGUAGCACCUAGAGGCUCCAACCAAGAUCUGAUUCCCUUUGUGCCUGGCACAUAGUAAGAGACAGUCCUUACCCUGAAGAUCUUACAAUCUAAAUGGACAAGACAAACAGUUUGAGAGAAAACAGAACUGAAUUUGCAGGUUACAGGCCAGCCCAAUCUCCUCCUCCAGCAACAUUAGGAAGUGUGUGUGUGUGUGUGUGUAUGUGUAACUCACUACCAGAUAUCUCUCCUUAUGCAAUGGGACUGGAAUGGGAAGGUAAUUCAUCAUCUAAUGCUUCCUUCUGGCUGGGACAUCACAAAUUAUAAGGUGGAUCUGAUAUUCAAUAUAAUUUUGGGAAAGGCUGUGGCUCUCCUAUUUAAUAAUUCUACUGUGUAAUUUAUUGGGCUUUUCAUCAGCCUCUUUUGCUCCUUUAAAAAAACCCCACUUUGUUCCUGUUCCACCUGUUUUUCAAAUCAUGUCUGUUAAAGGAAAGUAUGGAUCUCUCCAAUAAAAUUUAUUUAAUAUUGUGGAUUUAGCAGGUAUGUAGUGCAUUACAUCUUCAAAGCACUAUACAGAUAUUAAUUUAUUAGUUCUCACAACACCCCUGUGAGGCAGAUAAGUAGAUCAAUGGCAGAACUAGUGGCAGAUAGGACUCAAGAGCUCGUGGCUCAGAGCGGUGUGGUCUGACUACUAAAGAACGCUGCCUUACCCAUUUUAUACUUCUUUUAAAGAGCAUGUAUCAAAAAUGUUAUAUUUGUCAUGUUUUGAAAACAGUACAGCAUGUUUUUAUGGGCAUAUACUGUACUUGACAUUUUUCUUUCAGAUUAAAAUCUGAGGGAACAAUUCCACAGCUUCCAUAUCCAUAUGCCAGAACAGAAAAAACUGUAGAAAAGCAACAUGAUGGCGUAUGUGUUGAAAUGAAAUAAUUGUACAGUAAUUCUACCCUAAUAAAAAUAAUUGUCAGUGUGGAUGAAUACUGAAGACACCUUGUACUUCAUCCCACAACCAACAUAUUCUCUUGUAUUCUUACUAGAAUAUAUCUCAAAACAAUGCCAUCAUCAACUGGAAAUAAAAAAAGACUGUAGUGACAUGAAGAAGAAUUAAGUACGUUACUGCAAAAUACAAAGUGUUAUUUUAUUUGAAACAAUUCUAACUUCCUGAAAAUAAGUUGUGAUGAGUAAAUAACUUGUCAUUAUAAAGUAUGUAUUUUGCAGAAAUGAAAAAAAAUAUAACUAUACAAAAGAUUAGCAGCACUCAGGAUAUUGGAUGUACAGAUAAAUCAAGAUUUUGCAAUAGCAAUUUAUUUUAUUUAAUAAAAAAAGCCACAUAACCGUGUAUGUAGCUUUUAGGAUAGUAGUGUAACUAGUUUGUUUAGUCAGGGCUGCCAAAUUUAAUCAUGUUUUUGCUACUGAACGCUGGUAUCAAAUACCUCAAGUGAAGACAAGCUGUUUUGCAGCACCACCUAGGGGCCAAAAGAGGUAAUAGCACUAUAACUUCUGCUUAGGGCCCAAUUCUGCUUUCAGACAUACAUACACAAACAACCCCCAGUCCACUUGGUAUUUCACUUGAUGACUAUUUUUAUGCUGCUCCCUAUGCCUGGAAAGACAUUCCUCUUCUGGUAACCAAGCAUCUUCACUCUCUUUUUUCAAAUACCUCCUCAAACCCCAUUUCUUUCACCUUACUUUCUACUGCUUACUUCCACUUUUGUGGUAUCUCUUGCCCUACUACAUUGUCAAUUAAAAAGCAAAUCAGAAUUUAUAAGAUUGAUUUGCAAUAUUUCAUCAUUCACCUUCUUUGCCUUAAUCCUAAUUUCUCCAUUCUCUGUUCCUUCCUUUGUCUGUUUUCUUAAUUUUCUUUGUUUGUCUGAUUGAGGCCAGGUCUACACUAAGCGCAUUUUGCUGGUAUAGCUAUACCAGUAUACUAUACUGGCAAAGUCUGAUCAUAGCUUAUGCUGGCAAAGCUGUUUUUUUGACAGCAUAGCUUAUUCCAAAUAAGUGAAAUAAGCUAUGCCAGCAAAAGUGCAAUUUUGCCAGUAUAACUGCAUUGACACUAGGGGCUUUUGCCAGCACAGCUAUUUUGGUCAGGGAUCGCAACUCGUGACAUAGCUAUGCUAGCAAAAGUUUGUAGUGUAGUGUAGACUGUAAGUCCUUUUGGGACAGCAUUAACUCCUGUGGCAUCCCCUCCACAAAUUAGUAUUAUUUAUCAUUAUUUUUAUUAUCAUAGUACAUAGGAGCCCCAGUCAUAGACCAGAACCCCUCUGUGUUAGGCUCUCUACAAAGAACGAAAAGAGAUGCUAAUGUGAAACUGAGGGAGACUAAAAUCAUGCUGACAGCGAUUAGAGAGAUCAGCUUUGUAUUGUGGAGUAGUUGGCUCUCCAUGCAUCUAGUUCCUGCUUCCAUACACCUGGGGAUUUCCUUCUCUUUAGAUUUCCAGGUUCUGAACUGUUGAAAAACUUUUCCACAUGAUGGGACAAUCUUCUGAAAAUUCCUUUACCCUAUCUGUCUCCUCCUGUCAGGAAUCAGAGCCUGCAGCAGAGUUAGUCUCCAGGCAGCCUCAUCAGUACAGCUGGCCUGCAGCAGGCUGCCUCUGUAGCCAUGUCACAUGAUUGGCUGUAAAGGCCAGUAGGCUGACUCAAGUCAGCAGCAGCAGUUUACUGCCUUCUCAAUGCUCACACCUACUACUGUGCCUGCUCCUGUGUUACCUUGUUCCUGCUUUGCCCCCAGCCUUGCCACAGUCCUGCCCCUGCCUUGAACCUCUCCUUGCUUGAUACCCUGCUUGCUCACUUCCUGCCCUCUGGUUUAACCCAUAGCUGAGUACUGAAUCUGGCUCAACUCCUAGCUCUGGUACCCAGUUCCUGCCCUCCAGCAUGACCCUUGGCUUUGGCUCCUGAUGCCUUCUCUGACCACUAGGCUAGACUGCCCUUGUCCUGGGUAGCUGACACUCCCACAGGUGGUGCAUCUGGGAUAUGGUCUGGGGAGAGGAAUUUGGCUAAAUGGGCUCUAUGCUCCAGUUUAUUCUAGACUGCCCAAAGGCUGCUCUAGCUUACGCUGGGGGCUGAACUGAUUCCUGACCAGUCCUGGAAUCCACUAGCCACAAAUGUGGUAUAUAUCCAUGAUGUUGCUCCCUCCCAACCAAAGCUGCAGUGAGCUCAGCAUGACCACAGCUCGAAAUUGGAAUCAAAAUACCCAAAUGCAUGCUAGGUGUUUUGCAGACAACUAGAGAGACAGAGCUUAUAAUCUAAAGAGAAAACAUACAAAAUAUAAUAUUCAAAGUACAGGAGGCAGGACAAAAGCAGGACAAGACAAUCACAAAUUCUUUAAAAAAAUCCACCUUUGUUAAUUGGUUUUGGUUCUUUGAACUUUGUGAAUUUGCAAUUUUAUAUGGUUAUAUAGAGAAUUGAUUGAAGAAAGAGAAUUACAGAACAUUUCAAAUCAUUUUAAUGUUUUUGUUUUGAUUUUUGAUGUAAUCAACAUUUACUGAAAAAUUGUAUUGGAUUUUUUGGUUUAUUGUUUUCUUUUUUUUUAAUUGUCUAAAUAAAAUAGCAUUUAAUAUUUUUUGUCAGUUAGUCACGGGAUUUUUUUUUCUUAAAAAUGUAUAUCAAAAUUAAAAUAUUAAUUUUGAAUAUUUACUAUUUUUAAAAAGGAAGACAAAUGAAAAAAUGAGACUUUUUGAUAAAAAAUUAAUAAAAAUUCACAAAUCAAAAGCCCACCAAUUUUAAAUUCAAUUUUUGAUGUAGAAAAAGGGUAUUUUUAAUAUUUUUUAUUUAAAAAGUUUAGGGAAACUUUAAUUAUAUAUUUCUAAAAAUGUUUUAUUUUUCAAAUAAAAAAGUAUUAUUAGUGGAAAAUAUGGUUUAUAAUAUCUUCUUUAGAGUAAUAUUUACUACAACUGCACAUAUGUAUACACAUAUAGAAGAUGUGACAGUGUGAUAUAAAAAUUUUAUCAAAGGAGGUUGGGAUUAUUUAAUUAUUUAUGAGUGGCAGAGGCAUGAAUGAGUUAUGCAGGUAAUCUUGAAUAAGUGCUGGUCAAACCUUCAGAGCAUACUUUCAAAUAUUUUUCAUAUGCCACGAUGUAGUCAUGAUUUAUGAUUUAGUUACCAUAAAUCCAACUGCACAAAACACAUAAGGAAUAAAAAAAUAAAACUAAUAAAUGUAAAACAUCUCCCAAAACAGUAGUUUUCUCCUUGCCACAUAGAUCAGUGAGACCUUGUAUUUAACUGACUUGUAUACACACACACACACAAUAAAUAUAUGUAUAGUUAAGGGACUAUAAACAUACCUAUCAGCAAAGGGAAAAAUAAAAAGCCUAUUUUUUUCUUGUCUUAUUUAAUCCCUCUCCCUACUAUGUUGCAUUUGCUUGAGGUUUCUCUGGCUGCUUGAAAAAAUUGACACCAAGCAUAUUUCUAUUUUGAAAAUAAUGAAUUUAAUUAAAGUAAGUGAAUCUGGAUAUGGAGGAGCUCAAGAACUCAAGGGUUGUCUCCUUCACAGCCAGCUUGAACUAUAUAUUUAGCAUCAUUUUCACAGCUGCAAAUAACUUGUGGUACUUAUGGCUACAGUUUAAGAUUUUGGUGGUGAUUUUGGAGACAGUUUUGGGGGCCUGGGAAACACGCUCCCAAAAGCCUGAUUCUCUGGCAAAAAGCCUGUAGUUUAGGCAAGUGUGACAAAUAUGAGUAAAAGUAAAAGUAAGGAAGUGGCAGUUCAUUUUAAUGAGAAAGCAAAUUUUUCUACAGUUGAGAUUCUACCUAGAUGUAGAGCAUGUACAAUGUUAUAAUAUAUUAUUGUUUUGAGUCUUUCUCAGAUCUAGGAUGCUGUGUGUGUCUUACUAUUUCCUGCCUUAUAGUUAUAGUCAUAAUAAUGUGUAUUUUCCUUGUCCUAGUGUGUCCCUGUUUUUCCACAUUGCUUUUUUUCACAACAGCCUACUUGUAUUUUCCAUUUUCACUGGUAUUUUUCUAUCCUUUGCAAACUUUUCUUUGUCAAUUAUUUGUGUAAGGCUGCAGUAUGCCAACUGGCAUUCUUGUUUUUCCAGCCUGACUUUCUUUCUUAUUUCUCCUGAUGUAGGGUUCAAAUGCAAUAGCAUGUUUUGACAAUAAUGUGAUAUACCUUAUCUUAGAUCUAUACUGUAGAUCUCUGAAAUGUGUAGUAAAUUAGGUAUUUGAGGCUCUGGAACUUAAAUACUUAAUCUUUAGCUCAUUGGUUGGUGACAGGAUGACUCAGGGGAUUGGUAAUAGGAUAAAGCUUUUCACUUCUAAAUUGCCAAGUCAAAUCUAGCCCAGAUUAAUAGGGACAGAAUGUUGUUACCAUCUGGUGUCUGUUCAGUGACCUAUGUAGAAUAAAGUGGUAGGCUCAGUCCUAUUCCUAGUGGUCAGGUAUCCAAAUCACAAAAACGCUAUCAGAAUUAGCAUGCAGGUGAAGACCAAAGAUUCAAUGGGAAAGAGGACUACACUCUCCUCUGAACCUUAGAGGUUGGAUUGUGAACACAUUGAUAGGAAAGUGGAGAAAGCUUGCUUUGCUACUGUUAGGGCUGUCAGUAAAGCAUCUUUCAACACCAGCAUUAAAUGUACACAAAUUAAACAAAAUAUUUGACAUAGCCUGUGGCCCCAUAGUGUAACAGGCUUAUAGGGUUAGCCUGAAAACCAUUCCAGGUUUCCAGGUAGGGAGAUAUGUUAGGCAGGAGCGACUAAUCCCAAGGAAAAUAUUUAGGCGGAGGGUUUAACGUAGGAUAAUUUUGAAAGAACCUUUUUAUUAAUAAAUGAGACCCCAGGAGAGAGUACUUAAUUUUGAUUCUAGGAGAGUGCAGGGUUGUUUGCGUGGGAAUGCAGGUGCUAACACUGCCACAAGUACUCCUGCGUCAAUUAAAAAUGACUAGGAAACUCAUUCAGUACUAAACAGCCAGAACAAAGAACAUGGUAAACAGAAAAAAAGUUUUAGACCGAAAUGUGGGCAAGUGUCUACAAUUUUUUGAAAAGUUAUUGCUAUAGUUUUAGUUGGUGCUGCUUACGGAGAUGCCAGGAAGUUGCUAAUUAUGACCUAUGAUCUCUCAGGAAGAUGCCAAAAACCAUUUUUGGAACUGAUUGUCAAUGCAAGCAUUUGGGAGAUGAAUAUGCCAACUUCUUUUAAAGAAGUCGCUGUUGGAUUCUUGAUAAAAAAUAUUGAUGUUGACAGUCUCCCAUUACCAUCCUGUCUUGAAUCUUUCUUUUCUGGUAAGAUUAUUGGGGAGGGUUAUGGCAGAAUAGGUUCGGCAGCAUUUUGGUGUUUUCAGGCCUCCUCAACUCCAUACAGUUUGUUUUUCUACCUGGGCUUAGAGAAUACAUUGGUCCUGUUAGUUGAUCUUCUCAGGAUGGAUGAUAGUCCACAGAUGUAUUAGCACUACAUCAUGGCCCACAGUAGGAAAGACAGCAGACAGAUUUAAAAGAAUCAGUCAACCUUCAUCGGGAACUGGCUGGAACAUUUUUCUUGAAACAGUGUUCUGUCAGAAAAUGCAUUUUUUGACAGAAAUAUAAUUUUCUGCAAAGUCAUAUAGAUUUUGAACACAAAUUUAAAAUUAAAUUUUCUGUUUUCCCAUUGUCUUCUUCUGCCCUAACAUCAUGUUUUGAACCCUUUAUCUAGUUUUUGUAUAUAUUUACAUAUUUAUUACAUUCCUCACCUCUUGUUUCUUUUAUUUCCUUUCUCCGUUUCAAAAAUUGAUUCCUCCUUUCAGCUUUUUCCUGUCCUGUUUUGUCCUCUUCCUUAGCUUCUCUUCUGCAAAUUACCUCAAUGAACCUUCACGCCCCUCUUUCUUUUAAAGGUGAUAAUAAAAAAUAUAAAAAGAACUAAGGAUAAGGAAAAAGCUUUUCCCCCCCACAGUAUUGCAUUGUUUUGAAAAUGCAGUGUUGAAUUUGUAUGUGUUGAAUUUGUAUUUGUUGAAUUUGUAUGUGUUGAAUUACCACCUAAUAAAAAGUUUAAGGGAGCCUUUCAGCAUCCAAGGGGAUUUCAGCUCUCAUCCUUCAAAUCUUACUUUCUUAAAUAGCUCUAUUGACAUUAAUGCUCAAGUGCAUGACGGAUGCAGAAUAAAGCCUGACGCCAUUCAAACUUAAUAUCCUCUGUUUUUGUUCUUCUUUUGUUCUUCUGAAAUUCAAACAUGCCAGGUCUCCUACUUCAUGAGAUAUGGAUCAUCACAUCAUGCUCCUUGCAUGAUAUUAUAUGAAGUAUGGAAGCUGCUGUUGAUACAAUGGCAAUAUAUCAGCACUGAAACCUGCAAAUUGUCCUUUCAGGACAAGGUAUUGGAUAACCAGCAGAAUAGAAGGCAAGAAUAUUUCCUGCAUUUUAAGUCUUUGAUUCUAAAUGCUUUUAACAAUUCUUCUUAUACAUAUAGCUUUGCUGAAUUUAAUUUCUUUUCUGACCGCCCUGCCAUAGCUUCACUCUGUUUCUCUUUUUUAUUUCUUGGUUAAUCUUUCUAUGUCCUUAAAUCUUUCAGUUCAGCUUAAUCCUUCAAAUCCUAUAAUUAUUCAAACAAAGCAUUUUAACCUUUUAGCCUUCCUGGACCCUUGCCGAUUAUGUAUGACGUGUAGGUCUAUCUUGAUUAACAAUGCUUAUUGCUGCACUUUCUUUCUUAGGUUUCAGAGUAACAGCCGUGUUAGUCUGUAUUCGUAAAAAGAAAAGGAGUACUUGUGGCACCUUAGAGACUAACCAGUUUA